rnacentral:rRNA from 1 species
UACGUAGGGUGCAAGCGUUAAUCGGAAUUACUGGGCGUAAAGCGUGCGCAGGCGGUUCGGAAAGAGAGGUGUGAAAUCCCAGGGCUCAACCUUGGAACUGCACUUUUAACUACCGAGCUAGAGUAUGUCAGAGGGGGGUGGAAUUCCGCGUGUAGCAGUGAAAUGCGUAGAUAUGCGGAGGAACACCGAUGGCGAAGGCAGCCCCCUGGGAUAAUACUGACGCUCAUGCACGAAAGCGUGGGGAGCAAACAGGAUUAGAAACCCCGGUAGUCC